rnacentral:pre_miRNA from 1 species
UCUUACGGAUGAGCAGAGAAAGUGGUUUCUUGAGAUGGAAUCUACUGUUGAUGAGACUGCUGUGAA